CGUGUAGGUGGGUCUCUAAGUCGGUGGUGAAAUCCUGCAGCUUAACUGUAGAAUUGCCCUCGAUACUGGAGAUCUUGAGUGCGGUAGAGGGAGAUGGAAUUCAUGGUGUAGCGGUGAAAUGUGUAGAUAUCAUGAAGAACACCAGUCGCGAAGGCGGUCUCCUGGUCCGCUACUGCAACUGAGGCGCGAAAGCGUGGGGAGCAAACA
rnacentral:rRNA from 1 species